GGGCGUGGCCUGUAGGAGUGCCACGAUACCGCCAAUCACGCGCACUCCGCACUCUUAUUGGCUACGUAUCUUUGCUCGCCCGACGUCCUUUCUUUCCGUCCUCUCGCGAUAGAAGGGCAGGACGUCGCCAUCUUGGCUUUCUACUUGUCGCCUGGCUGCUGCCACCGUGGUCUGUUUGGGCGCUGGUGGUUGUGGCCUAAAGGGUGGGGGUGGAGGCUAGGGCUCUGCGGUCACGGUCGUGAGUUUCGCCGCUUGGGCAGGAGCUCGCCGGGUCCAAGGUCCCUGGGCCCUGCCGCCGCCCUUGGACUUUGAGCGAAGGCACACUGUCUGGUGCGAGGGACGGCCACGUGGGCCUUUCCGGGCUGGCGCCUCAGCCCCACCCGCCCACAGUGACUGCUGCUGUGGUCCGCGGGCUGGGCUUGCCGGAUCCUAGGAGACGCGGCGGGAAGAGUGUCUUCCCUGUUUCCCGCCCUGUGUCAUUCUUGUUUGAUGCCUUAGGAAACUUGAAAGGCGAAAGAAACUUCCUUUUUCCAAAAGUGACCCUUUUAUAUGAAGGGUAAGGACAGAUUUGAUUCGGCACCUACUAAGGGCUGUAACUUAAGCCAGCUAUAAAAAUGGUAGCUUACCACCGUGAGAAAGAGUUUAGGCCAUGAACAUUGCCUUCCACCACCCUAACCCCCCCACCCCCCACUCCUGGGGUUUUUAUUGGGAUCUCCAACUUUGGUGAGGAGACAGGUGUUAGCAGAGAAUGUAGAGGCCUAGAUAAGUGGUUUUCCUGAAGGCGCUGACAAUUGGAAAAGCAAUGUUGUCAGCCAGUGAUAGUCUGUUGCAUACCCAGCAAAGGUUUGGAGUUUCUUUCAAGAUUUACUCUAUAGCUGGAUAAGAACUAUUCUGAUCGUGGUAAACAGAACUUCUUUCCUCAUAUUUAAGUAAUUCAGAUUGAUAAAACAUUUUUUACUGUCUUCACCCCACAAAAAGUGUAAGAAGGUAUGUUAUAUUGGACAAUGGAUUAUUUUUGGAGAGGGGUAAGACAGUUUAAAUUUACAUACAACCUUAAUUAAAUCUGUGUACAUUCAUUACAAAAUUAAUUUUUGUAAGACAAAAAUGGAGUGCAUAGUUUACCAGACUCCUGAACUGAUUAUAUAACUGGGUGUAACUGAUUUUUUUUCUGUUGACUAAGCAAAUGAUGCCUUAGAAGGUUCCACUGUUGCUCUGUUGUCAAGUAAUCAAGAUUCAUGUUACUCCUACAAGAGAUCUUCAGAAUGUUCAUGACAAAUACAUAUUAUGGAAAACCAGUGCACAGAUUUUAAUUUUUACCCAAAAAUAAGCUCAUACUUUAAUUCCACGUUUUUCACUUUUUGAAGCCCUCAUGUAGGUUUAAACCAACAUGAGGGCCAGUUGAGUGGCCUGAUAGUGAAGAGAGUUGGAUCCUGCAUGUCAUACUGAGCAGUUUGAGUCCUGGACCCAGCCACUGGAGAAACACCAGGUGUUAAGUGCUUAUGUAUUCAAAAUCCCAUCAGAAUGGAGAAAUGAAGAGAUUGCAGGCUGAUCAUGUCCCAUUGGAGACCAGGCAAUAGAUUGGGUUAAGAAUUACCUCUUAUCUACGGGAAUGCUGCGAUGAAGCCAAAGAUCCACAUAACUAGUGUAAACUCCUCUGUAAAAUGAGAGCACUUCUUCAGGCCGUCUGCUGUGUCCCAUCCAGUCUGACAAACUGGUAUCAAAGCUCAGAUCUUCCACAGCAUAAAGACUUGUCCUUUCUGCAAUGGUGGAUGCAGAAAGGAAGUUCUCCUGCAGUGGAUGAUCCACCUUCAUGCAGCUGAUGAGUCCUGC